CCACCUCCACCUUUGGUUUCAUUUUUCACUCCCCACUCACUCCUCCACCUUAUCUACACCCUCAUAACUCUCUCCUACCACACCCCCACGAAAAUGCUUCUCCUCCUAGCUCCAUGGCCGGCCAUGGCCAUGGAAAGCCACCAAGAUGAAGCUCCCCUCCUCCCUCAAGCUCCCCCUCCCCAUGAGAGCUUCCCUCUCACUCUCUUCUCCCCUAAUCUUUGAUGAAUCCAGCUCUCUUUCUCCUUUCUCCUCUCACUAGAUUGGAUCUUGAUGCAGGUGCAUGUUGGUCCAAGCAUGGAGAAGGUUGAGCUAUCCUCAGAUCUGAAGUUCUUGAGCAAAAUCCAAAUCGAGUGAUUCAAAGUUCCACGGAUAGGUAUUGAAAAGAUCUACAACUUGGCGUUGGUCUCAUCCUCAAAUUCGUUACGGAUUUUGCAUGGGGAUGUUUGGUUUAUACCAUGGUGAUAACCGAGAGAGGCAAUUACUAAGUUGUGAUACUCUCAUACCUUUACUAGAUGCGAACAAUUUCGGAGAAGAAGAAGAAGUGGAAUCGGACGAGGAUUUUAUUUAUGUUGUUGGAAGUCUUAUUUGAUGUAGUUGGAGAAGUCCAGGGACAAACAAGCCAACCAA